AUUAAUAUUGCAUCUGGGUUUGAUUGAAAUUUUGGAUAAAAAAACCCAAACUCAUCAUUUACACAGAUUCAAAGAUUCAAAAACCAAAAAGGAAAGAAAAUUGAGUUAAAGAAAAUAAAAAUCAGUAACAGUUUUAUAGAAACCCAGAUUCAUCUAUUUACACAGAUUCAAGAACCCAAAAUCAUUAUUUACAGACUCAAAAACUCAUCAUUUACAUUCAUACACAAAUGACAAGUCUCGAAGACUAAAAGAUGAUCGGUGACUAUAGGCGAUGGUUGGAGAAGAACAGUGAAGAUGGACGAUCUGGCAAGCAAGGAGCAAACGAGAUGGACAUAUCUACGAGGGCCGAGGAGGGAUGGAUCUGCUAGGAGCUAUGAGUUUGCCAUAAGUCAUGAAGGUGAGGUCAAUGACGGUGAAUCUAGAAAAUGGCCGCGAGAAAAUGAGCAUCUGCGAAGUGAAUGGCGUGGUUUCUUUUGCUCUAG
rnacentral:misc_RNA from 1 species